rnacentral:lncRNA from 1 species
UAAGUUGAGGGUGUCUAUAAUAGGGGUACGUAGUUAGAAGUUGGUACAAAGAAGCGUUAAAUAAUAGAACAAAAAGUAGGGUUAGGUGUGUUAGAAAAGGAAUAAAACAAAUUUCACCCAACUUGAAUAAGCAAUAAAGGGUAAAUAAGGGAGAAAUAAAAGAGGAAAAAUUGGUUAAGAAGUGGACCUCAAAUAUAAUCAUAGUGUAAAGGAGGG